rnacentral:rRNA from 1 species
AUUGAACGCUGGCGGCAGGCCUAACACAUGCAAGUCGAGCGGAUGAAGGGAGCUUGCUCCUGGCUUCAGCGGCGGACGGGUGAGUAAUGCCUAGGAAUCUGCCUGGUAGUGGGGGAUAACGUCCGGAAACGGGCGCUAAUACCGCAUACGUCCUGAGGGAGAAAGUGGGGGAUCUUCGGACCUCACGCUAUCAGAUGAGCCUAGGUCGGAUUAGCUAGUUGGUGGGGUAAAGGCCUACCAAGGCGACGAUCCGUAACUGGUCUGAGAGGAUGAUCAGUCACACUGGAACUGAGACACGGUCCAGACUCCUACGGGAGGCAGCAGUGGGGAAUAUUGGACAAUGGGCGAAAGCCUGAUCCAGCCAUGCCGCGUGUGUGAAGAAGGUCUUCGGAUUGUAAAGCACUUUAAGUUGGGAGGAAGAGCAGUAAGUUAAUACCUUGCUGUUUUGACGUUACCAACAGAAUAAGCACCGGCUAACUUCGUG